GACGAACGCUGGCGGCGUGCUUAACACAUGCAAGUCGAACGGUAAGGCCCUUCGGGGUACACGAGUGGCGAACGGGUGAGUAACACGUGGGUGAUCUGCCCUGCACUUCGGGAUAAGCCUGGGAAACUGGGUCUAAUACCGGAUAGGACCACUGCCUGCAUGGGUGGUGGUGGAAAGCUUUUGCGGUGUGGGAUGGGCCCGCGGCCUAUCAGCUUGUUGGUGGGGUGAUGGCCUACCAAGGCGACGACGGGUAGCCGGCCUGAGAGGGUGACCGGCCACACUGGGACUGAGAUACGGCCCAGACUCCUACGGGAGGCAGCAGUGGGGAAUAUUGCACAAUGGGCGCAAGCCUGAUGCAGCGACGCCGCGUGAGGGAUGACGGCCUUCGGGUUGUAAACCUCUUUCAGCACCGACGAAGCGCAAGUGACGGUAGGUGCAGAAGAAGGACCGGCCAACUACGUGCCAGCAGCCGCCGUAACAC
rnacentral:rRNA from 1 species